GACGAACGCUGGCGGCGUGCUUAACACAUGCAAGUCGAACGGGUCUGCCCUGUUUUUUGCGGGGUGGGUCAGUGGCGAACGGGUGAGUAACACGUGAGUAACCUGCCCCUCACUUCUGGAUAACCGCUUGAAAGGGUGGCUAAUACGGGGUGUUCUGGCUGUGCCGCAUGGUGUGGCUGGGAAAGAUUCACUUUUGUGGUGUUUUGGUGGGGGAUGGGCUCGCGGCCUAUCAGCUUGUUGGUGGGGUGAUGGCCUGCCAAGGCUUUGACGGGUAGCCGGCCUGAGAGGGUGUGCGGUCACACUGGGACUGGGAGACGGCCCAGACUCCUGCGGGAGGCAGCAGUGGGGGGUAUUGCACGAUGGGCGGAAGCCUGAUGCAGCGACGUCGCGGGAGGGAUGGAGGCCUUCGGGUUGUGAACCUCUUUCGCCGGUGAAGAAGGUCCUGCUCUUUGUGGUGGGGUUGACGGUAGCCGGGUUAUGAAGCGCCGGCUAACUACGUG
rnacentral:rRNA from 1 species